rnacentral:lncRNA from 1 species
UGGAAAGGAGAAUAUUCGGUAUUAAUCAUACGGAAUAUUAAGGUGACAGUAGUGUAAAUAUAGGAGAUUGAGUCAAAGGUAGAACCAAGAAAAUUAGUUAGGAUGAUUUGAUUUCAUACAGUUGUUAAUUUCCCAUACUCUUGUAUUUCGAUUUAAGUGUACAUUGUAAACUUACAAAAUCACAACAAUACAAGACUUUCUUUCUCAUAUUAGAUUAUAUGGUAUCAGAGCUCCAGAUCUCUUAAAUGAGAAAAGAAAAUCCUAGCCAUCUUCCACCAUGUCUGACAUUGGUUUCGAGUCCUCAAACACCCCUAUGAACUAGCAGAAAACUUUUGAAACGGAGUCCUCCAUCAACAGGUCACAGGUUUCCCCUCCAGAUUUCCAUUUUGUCCAGAUUACUUCAAUACGCCUGAAUGAAGAAAAUUUCCUUUGCGUCCAGUCAGUACGUAUGUACAUCCGUAGAAGAGGCAAAAUUGGCUACCUGACAGGAGAAGGAGCCUGCCCUUAAGGAUCCAACUCAUCCCACUUGGGAUGCUGAGAACUCUAUGGUGAUGACUUGGUUGGUCAAUUUUAUGGAUGAAGAUAUCAGCUCCAACUCUAUGUGCUAUGACGCUGCUAAGGAGCUCUGGGACAACAUCAACCAUAUGUAUUCAGACUUGGGAAGGCGUAUGAAUUGAAGCUGAAACUUGAAGAAAUCUGCCAAGGUCAAACAGCGUCAUCAAGUACUUCAAUUCUCUGAAACACCUAUGGCAAGAUUGAGACUUAUUCACUGAUUAUGAGUGGAAAUCCCCAGACUAUUGUAACCACUAUAAGAAGAUAGUUGAGGACAACCGUAUUUUUAAAUUUCUUGUUGGACUUAACAUUGAGUUUGUUGAGGUUAGGGGAAGGAUAUUGGCAAACAACCUCUACCAUCAAUCGAGGAAGUUUUCUCUGAAGUUCAUCGUGAGGAAAGUCAUCAACUUGUCAUUCUCGGUAAGAACACAACUGUCAGUACCAUUGAAAGUUCUUCCCUUGUUGCUAGUCGAACCAACCCUACGGAAGAUUGAUGAGAAGCCUUGUCUGUGGUGUGAUCAUUGCAACAAAUCAGGCCAUACCUGUAACACUUGCUGGAAGAUACAUGGAAAACCAGCAAAUUGGAAACGAAAACAUGAAGGCAGGUUUAACCGCUCACCAUGAACGGCCUCUAACCGCUCACCAUGAACGACCUCUAACCACUCAUCCACUACACACGAAGCUGAAGGUGUUCCCUUUAGCAAAGAGCAAAUGAAUCAUAUCCUUAAACUGCUGAAAUCUAACUCAGAAUUGUCGGGUACUCCUAAUGCUUCUCUUGCUCAAACAGGUAGUCAAUCAAAUUCCCUCUCAUGUAUUUCACAUUUUGUUUCUUGGAUUAUUAAUUCAGGAGCUUCUGAUCGCAUGAAAACUUUCACGUUUGUUGUAUACUUAUAUUACUUGUUCUGGUCAUGAUAAAAUACGUACAACAGAUGCCUCUUUUUAUCCCAUUGCAGGCAAAGGUUUGAUAAAUUUAUCUAUAACCUUAUCACUGAAAUAUGUUUCCAUGUACCGAAACUUGCACGUAAUCUCCUAUCGGUCAGUAAAUUAACUAAAGAUUCUAAUUGUCGUGUCAACUUCUUUGAAUCCCAGUGUGUUUUAGGACCAGAGCUUAGGGAAGAUGAUUGGGAGUACUAAGAUGAUAGACGGCCUCUACCAUUUAGAAAAUGAAGAU